UCGGUCCUGACCCACAACCCGGUGGUGUUAGAAACAGCUACGAUUUGCACUUCAAAGAAAACUUGGAUACCUUAGGAUCGGACCUCUGUCUGGCUAUGAAUCUCUUUGGAGUUUGCGAUGUAUUUUCUCAUUCCAUUGGCCCUGCAUUCACAGAAAUGUUUGGCUUUGUAGAGCGCCAACUAUAUGCUAGAUCCCAUUCCUGGGCGAGGUCCCUACCCUGGUGGAGCUUGUAUCCUACCACGGUACUCUUAAAAUGGUGUGGGGAUAGAUAGGCAGAAGAGAGAUUAUGAUGUCCACAGGACCUGAGAGAAGCUUUCCAAAGCACAAGGCAAGAGUUGAACCUGGUCCCCUGUCUUCUAGACUCCUUAUCCCCAACAAAAGUCAACUCUGUUGCACCCAAGCGCUCAGAAAUGUACUGGAGGAGAGUGUUCACUGCAGUUCUGAGCACAUCAUCCUUACCAACAGGCCGAAGAAGGCCCUGGAGGCCCGGGAUCAGCCAAUGGCGGGACUGAAAAUUCUCCAUCCAAGACAACCUGCUUGGCCAGGCCAACUGGCUUGGCCUUCCCCAUGCUAGAAAUUGCAAUUCUGCUUUCCCUUCGUACCUCUCAGUAGCAUGCCCAGAAGAAAGUACCUUAGAUCUACUCCUUGAAGGCUUAUACUUAAUUUACUAGACUGGGAAAAGUUCUUUUAGCCCCAAGUGUGACCAUGUUUUGUAGUUAGUAUCCCCAAAUAAUGGAGGAGUGAGACCAUGUAGGAAGAAUGAGGAAAAAAAUCAUCGCUUGGUACCCAUGAUUAUAAAGCCAUGUCUGGUGUGCUAUCUUAUUCUACAGAUUGCCCUGUACCUGCAUGAGAACUGGUCCUGUCUCAUAGAGCAAGAAGCAGACAGAAAAGAGAAGGGACUUGCUCAAGUUCCCUGACUUCUAAACGUACUGAGACAGAAAGUAGAGCUGUGUAGGUAAGAAGUGGCUCUGGAAUCAGAUAGACCUGGUUUGAAUUCUGGUUCUGCAACUGCCUAGGAAAAAAAAAGUCUCUGGAAUGGAAGGCAAAGUUCAUCUCUCCAGAAGGCUGGGUAAACCUUAAGAAUA